rnacentral:siRNA from 1 species
UCGUCGGUGUGAGGUUUCUCCGGA